rnacentral:rRNA from 1 species
ACGGGUGAGUAAUGCUUAGGAAUCUGCCUAUUAGUGGGGGACAACAUCUCGAAAGGGAUGCUAAUACCGCAUACGUCCUACGGGAGUAAGCAGGGGACCUUCGGGCCUUGCGCUAAUAGAUGAGCCUAAGUCGGAUUAGCUAGUUGGUGGGGUAAAGGCCUACCAAGGCGACGAUCUGUAGCGGGUCUGAGAGGAUGAUCCGCCACACUGGGACUGAGACACGGCCCAGACUCCUACGGGAGGCAGCAGUGGGGAAUAUUGGACAAUGGGGGGAACCCUGAUCCAGCCAUGCCGCGUGUGUGAAGAAGGCCUUUUGGUUGUAAAGCACUUUAAGCGAGGAGGAGGCUACCGAGAUUAAUACUCUUGGAUAGUGGACGUUACUCGCAGAAUAAGCACCGGCUAACUCUGUGCCAGCAGCCGCGGUAAUACAGAGGGUGCAAGCGUUAAUCGGAUUUACUGGGCGUAAAGCGCGCGUAGGUGGCCAAUUAAGUCAAAUGUGAAAUCCCCGAGCUUAACUUGGGAAUUGCAUUCGAUACUGGUUGGCUAGAGUAUGGGAGAGGAUGGUAGAAUUCCAGGUGUAGCGGUGA